rnacentral:rRNA from 1 species
CUACGGGGGGCACCAGUUAAGAAUAAUCUACAAUGCGCGAAAGCGUGAUAGUUUGAGCCAGAGUGUGUUUCUAUUUGAAACACUUUUCUGCACUGUAAAAAGGUGUAGGAAUAAGGACUGGGUAAGACUAGUGCCAGCCGCCGCGGUAAUACUCAGCGGUCCAAGUCGCAGCCAUAUUUAUUGGGUCUAAAACAUCCGUAGCUUGCUUUGUAAGUCCCUUGUGAAAUUUUAUCUCUUAAGGAUAAAGCGCGCGAGGGGUACUGCAGAGCUAGAGACUGGAAGACGGAAGAAGUAUGUUCAAAGUAGUGGUAAAAUACGUUAAUCUUGAGCAGACUAACAAUAGCGAAGGCAUCUUCCGAGGACAGUUCUGACAGUAAGGGAUGAAAGCUAGGGGCGCAAAACGGAUUAGAUACCCCAGUAGUC